rnacentral:rRNA from 1 species
UACGGAGGGUGCAAGCGUUAAUCGGAAUUACUGGGCGUAAAGCGUGCGUAGGUGGUUCGUUAAGUCCGUUGUGAAAGCCCCGAGCUCAACUUGGGAAUUGCAGUGGAUACUGGCGAGCUGGAGUGCGGUAGAGGAAGGUGGAAUUCCGCGUGUAGCAGUGAAAUGCGUAGAUAUGCGGAGGAACACCGAUGGCGAAGGCAACUCCCUCGGCCUGCACUGACGCUCAUGCACGAAGCGU